rnacentral:rRNA from 1 species
CGAGCGGGCUAUCAUGCAGUCGAGCGAAUGGAUUAAGAGCUUGCUCUUAUGAAGUUAGCGGCGGACGGGUGAGUAACACGUGGGUAACCUGCCCAUAAGACUGGGAUAACUCCGGGAAACCGGGGCUAAUACCGGAUAACAUUUUGAACCGCAUGGUUCGAAAUUGAAAGGCGGCUUCGGCUGUCACUUAUGGAUGGACCCGCGUCGCAUUAGCUAGUUGGUGAGGUAACGGCUCACCAAGGCAACGAUGCGUAGCCGACCUGAGAGGGUGAUCGGCCACACUGGGACUGAGACACGGCCCAGACUCCUACGGGAGGCAGCAGUAGGGAAUCUUCCGCAAUGGACGAAAGUCUGACGGAGCAACGCCGCGUGAGUGAUGAAGGCUUUCGGGUCGUAAAACUCUGUUGUUAGGGAAGAACAAGUGCUAGUUGAAUAAGCUGGCACCUUGACGGUACCUAACCAGAAAGCCACGGCUAACUACGUGCCAGCAGCCGCGGUAAUACGUAGGUGGCAAGCGUUAUCCGGAAUUAUUGGGCGUAAAGCGCGCGCAGGUGGUUUCUUAAGUCUGAUGUGAAAGCCCACGGCUCAACCGUGGAGGGUCAUUGGAAACUGGGAGACUUGAGUGCAGAAGAGGAAAGUGGAAUUCCAUGUGUAGCGGUGAAAUGCGUAGAGAUAUGGAGGAACACCAGUGGCGAAGGCGACUUUCUGGUCUGUAACUGACACUGAGGCGCGAAAGCGUGGACCCC